UUUGAAAAACCUAUUACAGUAGCUCCUUGGGGAGAGGUAAGAGUAUACCUACUAAUUCUAAAAUACAACUUAGAUUCUGUCUUUUUUUCUUUUUCUUGAGAAGGUAAAACGUACAACUUAAAUAAUGGUAAUUCUUUACCCACAAAAAUAAAAUCAAUUAUAAGGACUAAACUCAAUGGUCAUUUGAGUAUCCGAUAGUAGUGUGUUUUAGUUUAUUAUCUCGAUAAAGAGGCGAUGCAGAGCAUCAAACACCUAUUGGGGAUGUCACAAAUAUACUUCUGCAGGAAAAGCACAUAUAGAUCUUUUCUAAGAGAAAUCAUCUUCUAUACAACAAAAUCACGAUUUUUCUGCUAGCAAUAGGUCAUAUAUCUUAUGCAUAAUGAUUUAAUUAAUGUCGCCUGAUCCGGCGUAAAUACUGCCUCACCCAUAGGGGUUCCCAAAAAUGCAUAACUCCAAUUUUUGAAGGAUCCGAACAAUAUAUAAUUUGAUUAAUUACUUUAUUCUAUUUUACGUUUCAGACUUUUCAGUUCACAGACAUCUUAAAAUAUUUGGCGCACUUCUAUGAGAAAUAUUAGUUAAUAUAGACAAUAUUUUUCAAGUAUUCCAUUUCGUUCGCUAAUCAAAUAACUUGUUGAGGCCUGGAAGAAUUAAAUAUCAUGCUUAAAGACGUAUAUUUAUUCACAAUAAUAAAAUAAGGCACUUAAAUAAUUAUUCAAUUAUAAUUAUUUAACAAUUAUAGAAGAUAAGAUUAUGACUAAUCUAAAUCAAUUUUCUUAGGCAUUAUAGGUCAAAGAAUCUAAAUCAAAAGGUAGUUUUCAGCAACUACAUGACACCAAAAACAUCGAUGUGUGUCUGUCUAUAGGGAAGCAUGUUACUUCUCUCAAAUCAGCAUCAUCUUCUUGUUUACCAUCUGGUGCUGGCUAGUGUAUCAUGUAGUGCAGUAAGACAAUGUAUUGAAAUACACAACCAAACACAUCGUCAUUUACCUUAUUACUCCAUCCUUCGAUGUGAACUUGAUUUUUCUGUGUUAUUCUUUUGUUUCACCUGAUUCUAGCUUAUGUUCUUGAUAUGUAUACUUUUCUGUCCACUAACUUUCCAUAAACUUACCUGAAAAAGAAGAAGACAAAAGUCAGGAAGGAUAGAGAAACUAUUUCAGUACCUAAUCGAGAAAAGAUAAUUGAGUUACAGACUAUAAUACAUCACAUCAUAUUAAGUCAUAAUCCCAACCAGAAAAAGAAGUAUUGUGAAGUUGCAAGCUCAUUGGAGAAUAUUAGGAUAUUAAGGCAAUAAGCAGGUUUUCUUCUAUAAUACACCCUUGUUUAUGCUCGAAAUUACUAAUAAAAAUCACACAGCAUCUAUGCAUAACUUGAAACAAAACAAACAUGAUUGCAUGCAGAUAAGAAUGGACAUUGGGGCUAACUCAACCCCAAAAGUUAGCUUAUGAGGUGAGGAUUGCCUAAGCCAUAUAAGGAGACCAAGGACCUCAAAUCCUUCCGAUGUGGGAUAACUCAACAAUAAUAUUGCGUUUUAGGUAGAAAGUAGCUUUUUUAAAAAAACUAUAGAAACGUAAUUUGAGUCCAUAAAGUUGUCAUUUUGGUUUCGGACUCUUACUUCUUCAAUAUACUCAGAAUUCUCAACAUAAAUGGGGGCCCAACAUCAGUAACAAUAAUUGAGAUGGGCCUAGCUCUGAUACCAUGAAAACAUAGAAGAAUCAAGAUGAAAAUUGAAGAAGAUGAGUCGGUUGAGAGAAGCUUCCAGAGAGCUUCAGAAGAGAAAAGCUUUCAAUAUCAAAAUAUCCGACUGAAGGGUCAGGUGCGUAUAUAACCAAACUGGGCCAACUCGGGCCAAUUGUAAAACAAAAGAAAAAUGGGUCCAGAUGUGUUCUGGCCCAACAUACAUAAUAUACACGAUAUACAAAUAGUAUACAAUAAAUAUACACUACAAAAUCAAUGUACAUGUCUAGAUUUUGAAGCUAGAUAAUCUUGUAGCUCAACAAAUGCCAAAGGAGGAAGAAAAAUAAGAUUUAAAAGCUUAAAGACGAAUAUAAAACAACUCUGCAUUGUGAAUAGAAAGCCGACAAAAUCUCAAACCAACUCGCCAGACAACCUGGUACAAAGAGUUUAGUCCGUCUUUUAGCUAUUCUGUAUUUUCACAUUCACUUGUCACCUUUAGAACAUUGAUAGAAAUGGGGUGGUUUAAAGAAUAGGGUGUUAGGAUUAUGAUUUCUACUAAAGACAACAACCUUCAUAUUGAAUAAUUCGGAUAUAUAAANNNNNNNNNNNNNNNNNNNNNNNNNNNNNNNNNNNNNNNNNNNNNNNNNNNNNNNNNNNNNNNNNNNNNNNNNGAAGCUAACCUGAAUCCAUAUGUGGAAAUGUUGAGCCUCCUUUUGAUGAUUGUCCUUUGUUGUGAACUCCUUUAGCCUUCCUUCAAGUUUCUUGAAGUAUCUUUGUCCCCACAAGAAUGUAUCCACAAUACUCAACAAUAUAUGAAAAGGUUCACAAUAAUAGUGUUAUAACAAUUAUCAAAUUUGGCUUAUGGUUUUCCACCCUAUUUGCACGACAAUGGAUUGUUUGAGUUCUUGAUUCAAUGGGAGGAAAAAGAACUUGUCUUGCACUAGGGUGGGAACCAUAAUCCCCCACUUUAUAACUCUAGGAGUUACAUAACCCAAGAGACAAGAGUUACAAGAGUUAUGUCUUGCAAGAGUUACAUAACUCAAGAGUCACAAGCAUGNNN
rnacentral:lncRNA from 1 species